GAGGAUGGGCUGUGUCGAAACGAAGGUGAUAAGCUCACCGCCUGGGAAGUACGGUCGCAAGACUGAAACUUUAAGGAAUUGGCGGGGGAGCACUACAAGGGGUGCGGCGUGCGGUUUAAUCUAACUCCACGCAGAGAACCUCACUAGAAGCGACGGCAGGAUGAAGGACAGGCUGAAGACCUUUCCCGACGAGCCGAGAGGUAGUGCAUGGCCGCCGUCAGCUCGUGCCGUAAGGUGUCCAGCUAAGUCUGGUAACGAGCGAGACCUGCGCCCACAGUUGCUAACGAGACAUGUCGAUCGAGCACACUGUGGGGACUGCCUUCGUAAGAAGGAGGAAGGUGCAGACUACGGUAGGUCUGUAUGCUCCGAAUCUUCUAGGCUACACGCGCGCAACAAUGGUAGCGACAAUGGAAUGCGACACCGAAAGGUGAGGCUAAUCCUCGAAACGCUAUCUUAGUUCGGAUCGAGGCCUGCAACUCGGCCUCGUGACGCCGGAAUCCCUAGUAAUCGGCCGUCAACAUCGGCCGGUGAAUAUGUCCCUGCUCCUUGCACACACCGCCCGUCAAAUCAACCGAGCAGGGUCUAGGUAAAGCCACGCUGUUUUGGCAUGGCUGAAUCUAAGCUCAGUGAGGUGGAUUAAGUCGUAACAAGGUAGCC
rnacentral:rRNA from 1 species